UCAGAGUUCAACAGUCCCCCUCUCUCUGAUGGGCACAACACGCAGGUAACAACACGGUGCUUGGCUUCUAUUACUCGGCGGUGCUCGGGUCUGCGCGGCUCGGCGGUCUCACGCAAAAUUAAAGCUAAACAAACACAUACUUUCCCCACUUUUUUUUUUUACAACGACGAUUACGGUAUAAAAUAUAACUCGGUUUUCUAAUGAAAAAGGCUAGUGCGUUUUAUUUGUUCCUGUUUACGGUUCGAGACU